GCAAUAAUAAUUCCUUUUCUCACUUGUUCACUCCAGUGGGUCUCUGCAAUGCCGGGGCUUGUGGCCUGGUUCCGCCAAUAUCCGGUAUUAGCAGAACCCUUGGCAUUGCAUCUAAUGUCCAGUUAUUGGUUAAAAACGAUAGCAGUGAUAUUUGAAGGACUCGGUAUUUAUUUGGUAAGCGCCGCAUCAGUUGUUGGUUUAAAAAGCAGGCUCCUCGGAUACCACCAUUUCUAUGAAGCUGAAGUAACCAUCCUUCGUGUCUGAUUAGACAGUGUUUGCAGUGCAGUGGUCUUUGGUGGAUUGCAACUGUCGUCUGUUACAGUAUUACUCAUGCAAAUGUUGUAAGCAUUGUGAAUUUUCUUCAAGUAAGGAAUAUCUGUUGAAUGUACCAACGCUGUUACAUGUUCAUAAAAAUUGCUUCUCAGAUUCCCUGCUGCUUUAAACUAAUCAGGCCCUAAAUAGCCGUACCUGAAAUUCACAAAACAUUGAAGAGGAUGGGCGCCCGGUGUGUUCAAUAGUGUGUUAAAGAGUUUUUAAAACCUCCUUCAACCGGUUGUUAGAACAUCAAUAUAGAAUCAGAGUAGGGGUCAUUAUCACUGGCAUACAGGUACGUUGUGAAAUUGUUUUGUGGCGGUAGAACAGUGUGAUACAUUAAUAAUAAAUUAAUAAUAAUAAAUUACAGUCAGGAUAUAUUAAAUAAUUAGUGCAAAUGAAUAAAAAUAGUGAAGUAAUCUUCAUGGGCUCAUUGUUUGUUCGGAAGUCUGGUGUAGGGGAAGAAGUUGUUCCUAAAACACUAAUAGUGUGUUGUCAGGCUUCAUACCUUCCCUCUGAUGGUAGUAAUGAGAAGAGGACAUUGUUGAGGUCCUUAAUGAUGGAUGCUGGGGAGGCUGGUGCUCAGGCUGGGUUUGCAGCCUUUUCUGAUUCCGUGCAGUGGCCCCUCCAUACCAGACAGUCAUGUAGCCAGUCAGCAUGCUCUCUGAAGUACUAAUGUAGAAAUUUGCUCCGCUCUUAGAUGACAUUCCAAAUCUCCUCAAACCUAAUGAAGUAGCUGUUGGUGUACCUAUUUUGCAACUGGACUAAUAUGUUGGACCCAGGAUAGAUGGUCAGAGAUGACAUUGAAGAGAUGAACUCCUGAAGAGACAAAAAACCGCAUUAUCUGUCUUGAGCACAAGUAAAAGCCUAAAGUAAUCCCAAGGAGCAUCUCCUUAUCUUCCAACUGGCCAUGUCAGAACCUCCGGAAAUGGACACUGAAUUCACCGAUUCCAGAAAGCAGUCAUGGUCCGUGGUUCCACAGAGGGAGUUAUUCCAGAUCUUGACAGUGCUUCAUGCUGGAAAUAAAUGCUGCUUGUUUUUUUUUUAAAAAGUAUUGACAAUUUACUUAUCUUGGAAUUACAGUCACAAAGAAGUUUAAAGAUCUCUUUCGUGAAAACUUUGCCAAUCUUUCAUAUACUAUGGUCACCUCUAUAUGUCUUUGGUAGGUCGUAUUAAUGCUGUUAAAAUGUAUGUU